AAUGAACGCUGGCGGCAGGCCUAACACAUGCAAGUCGAACGAAGCCUUCGGGCUUAGUGGCGGACGGGUGAGUAACGCGUGGGAACGUGCCCUUUGCUUCGGAAUAGCCCCGGGAAACUGGGAGUAAUACCGAAUGUGCCCUACGGGGAAAAGAUUUAUCGGCAAAGGAUCGGCCCGCGUUGGAUUAGGUAGUUGGUGGGGUAAUGGCCUACCAAGCCGACGAUCCAUAGCUGGUUUGAGAGGAUGAUCAGCCACACUGGGACUGAGACACGGCCCAGACUCCUACGGGAGGCAGCAGUGGGGAAUCUUAGACAAUGGGGGAAACCCUGAUCUAGCCAUGCCGCGUGAUCGAUGAAGGCCUUAGGGUUGUAAAGAUCUUUCAGGUGGGAAGAUAAUGACUGUACCACCAGAAGAAGCCCCGGCUAACUCCGUGCCAGCCGCCGCUGUAAUAC
rnacentral:rRNA from 1 species